rnacentral:sRNA from 1 species
GUAAGUGUGUGACGUCGGGGUAGAAGGGAGUGACCCAAAUUCCAAAAGCUCUUUGGGGUGCUGCGAUGUCGCGGCCGGCCCCGCGCUCGGGUUUUCCCUCCUAGACAAAAGUCUGCCGGCUCCCGGUCGCGCCGGGGCGGGGAUCCGGAAGGUGAAGGCCGCCAGGCCCCACCUGCGGGGCGCCCCUGCUGGACCUGGCCGUCGGGCGCCGUCAACCCGCUGAGCAGCGUGUUCCGGCUGGCACGUGGCCCGGGCGGGGCUCAGGAUUGGUUCAAGCCUACGGUGUUGGUCCCCGGAGAGUCUAGGGAGACAAGCAAUCCCCUGGAAUGGUGGGGGAAGCGAUGACAGCCCCUGGUCCUCAUCCGCAGCUCUGGGGGAAGUGGGGGGGUGGGGAGGGCAGGUGUUGCUCCCUGAGUGUUGGGGGAAGGGUAUGGGGAGAGGACCCUGAACUGGCCCCCGGGUUACCCAGGAGGAGCUGAGGCCCAGAGAGGUUCAGCGACUCGCCCAGGGUUGCACAGCGAGCACAGUCACCGACGUUGCCCUCCGAGGCCUGGGCUUCCAGCAGGGAGAGACACGGACACCUGUCAUCGCUUCUCGGUGGAUCCCUGAAAUAUCAGACCUUCCAGCUGCCUCUCAUGUACUUGUCUGUUGGGGGCUUGUGUUGAUCAGGAGUGAAUUCACAGUCUACCAUGAAUUGGAAGGUUCUUGAGCACGUGCCCCUGCUGCUGUAUAUCUUGGCAGCAAAAACAUUAAUUCUCUGCCUGACAUUUGCUGGGGUGAAAAUGUACCAAAGAAAAAGGUUGGAGGCAAAACAACAAAAACUGGAGGCUGAAAGGAAGAAGCAAUCAGAGAAAAAAGAUAACUGAAGGUGAGUCCACAGCACCCAACCUUGCAAAUGGGAGCUGGCCAGUGGGUUGGGGUGACCAAUCAAUGAACAAGAGAGGUCUGCGACCUCCCUGUCCGUCGGGUCUGAAGGGCUGCGUGGGGGCAUGUGGCCUCACCUGUUCUCUAAGGUAGAACUGCUCCACAAAGGGCCAGGUGUGCAGAUCCUGGUCCUGGGAUGUGAGUGCUGCUGAGCCAAGGUGCACGGAGCAUUAGUUCAUCCUUCUUGAAACCUGCGGUGGCAAUGGUUCUUGACAGGUAUUGGGUUAAGAAUUGAGGACUCAGUGACAGCUGUGGACCUUCUUCCCAGAGAGGCACACAUACUGAAACCAUCUGCAUUUGUGUGUGGGGAGAAGUUUGCAGAUGUGGGGAGUCACAGGUCAUUUGAAAUUCCAAGAUUAAGAAACCCUGUUACCUUUAAGAUAAAGUCUGACUCCAUGGUAUGACAAAUAAAUCCCUUCCCAGUCUGGUCUUAACCCAGACCUCAUUUGCCACUUGUGCCCACUCCCCAUCCCCCUGCAGGCCAUUCCUCAGCCACCAUGGCCUUUGGCCUUGCUUAUUAGGUUCUUCCCAAGGACCUCCUCACCAGGCCUGAGGGUACACUCAUCGUUGUCACCCAGUGCCUAUCACAGUGCACACUGGUGGGCUUAGAACACACUUGGGGAGUUACAAUACAUCAAGGCACCAGAAAGUUCCUGUUAAGCCCCUGUUACAGAUUUAACACAUGACAAUUCACAGUUACCUUGAUUCCAGUGUGUUGAUGCAGUUUCUUCACUUUGCAGGUUGAGUUCUGUACUUUAAAAAUCAGGGGAUUCAGCCAGGUGUGGUGACUCAUGCCUGUAAUCCCAGUGCUUUGGGAGGCAAAGGUGGGAGGAUCACUUGAGCCAAUGAGUUCAAGACCAGCCUGGGCAACAUAGUGAAACCCUGUCUCUACAAAAAUUAAAAACAACAACA